GUGAGGAAUAUUGCGCAAUGGAGGCAACUCUGACGCAGCCAUGCCGCGUGCAGGAAGAAGGCGCUACGCGUUGUAAACUGCUUUUAACCGGGAAGAAACCCCAGGACGUGUCCUGGGUUGACGGUACCGGAGGAAUAAGCACCGGCUAAAUUAGUGCCAGCAGCAGCGGUAAUACGAAGGGUGCAAGCGUUAUCCGGAUUCAUCGGGUUUAAAGGGUGCGUAGGCGGAGCGUUAAGUCAGUGGUGAAAUCCUGCAGCGUAACUGUAGACUUGCCAUUGAUACUAGCGCUCUUGAGUGCACUUGAAGUGGGCGGAAUGUGCCGUGUAGCGGUGAAAUGCUUAGAUAUGGCACAGAACACCAAUUGCGAAGGCAGCUCACUAAGGCGAUACUGACGCUGAGGCACGAAAGCGUGGGGAUCGAACAGGAUUAGAAACCCGUGUAGUCC
rnacentral:rRNA from 1 species